rnacentral:rRNA from 1 species
GACGAACGCUGGCGGCGUGCUUAACACAUGCAAGUCGAACGGAAAGGCCCUGCUUUUGUGGGGUGCUCGAGUGGCGAACGGGUGAGUAACACGUGAGUAACCUGCCCUUGACUUUGGGAUAACUUCAGGAAACUGGGGCUAAUACCGUAUAGGAGCUCCUGCUGCAUGGUGGGGGUUGGAAAGUUUCGGCGGUUGGGGAUGGACUCGCGGCUUAUCAGCUUGUUGGUGGGGUAGUGGCUUACCAAGGCUUUGACGGGUAGCCGGCCUGGGAGGGUGACCGGCCACAUUGGGACUGAGAUACGGCCCAGACUCCUACGGGAGGCAGCGGUGGGGAAUAUUGCACAAUGGGCGGAAGCCUGAUGCAGCAACGCCGCGUGCGGGAUGACGGCCUGCGGGUUGUAAACCGCUUUCGCCUGUGACGAAGCGUGAGUGACGGUAAUGGGUAAAGAAGCACCGGCUAACUACGUG